CAGCAGCCGCGGUAAUACGAAGGGGGCUAGCGUUGCUCGGAAUUACUGGGCGUAAAGGGAGCGUAGGCGGACAUUUAAGUCAGGGGUGAAAUCCCAGAGCUCAACUCUGGAACUGCCUUUGAUACUGGGUGUCUUGAGUGUGAUAGAGGUAUGUGGAACUCCGAGUGUAGAGGUGAAAUUCGUAGAUAUUCGGAAGAACACCAGUGGCGAAGGCGACAUACUGGAUCAUUACUGACGCUGAGGCUCGAAAGCGUGGGGAGCAAACAGGAUUAGAUACCCGUGUAGUCCCUGUCUCUUAUAC
rnacentral:rRNA from 1 species